ensembl:snRNA U1 U1 spliceosomal RNA
AUAUUUACCUUGGAAUGGUGACAUCAUGAUCAGGAAGAUGGAUUUUCCAGGGCGAGGCUCAUCCAUUGCACUUGGGCUGUGCUGACCCUUAAAAUUUCCCCAAAUGUGGAAAAAUCGGCUGUGUAAUUUAUUGCAGUAGGGGACUGAUUUUGCAGUUUUCCCUAA